GGGGAUUUAGCUCAGUGGUAAAGCGCUUGCCUAGCAAGCGCAAGGCCCUGGGUUCGGUUCCCAGCUCCA
rnacentral:tRNA from 1 species